GAUGAACGCUGGCGGCGUGCCUAAUACAUGCAAGUCGAGCGGACAGACGAGGAGCUUGCUCCUCUAACGUUAGCGGCGGACGGGUGAGUAACACGUGGAUAACCUACCUAUAAGACUGGGAUAACUUCGGGAAACCGGAGCUAAUACCGGAUAAUAUAUUGAACCGCAUGGUUCAAUAGUGAAAGACGGUUUUGCUGUCACUUAUAGAUGGAUCCGCGCCGCAUUAGCUAGUUGGUAAGGUAACAGCUUACCAAGGCAACGAUGCGUAGCCGACCUGAGAGGGUGAUCGGCCACACUGGAACUGAGACACGGUCCAGACUCCUACGGGAGGCAGCAGUAGGGAAUCUUCCGCAAUGGGCGAAAGCCUGACGGAGCAACGCCGCGUGAGUGAUGAAGGUCUUCGGAUCGUAAAACUCUGUUAUUAGGGAAGAACAAAUGUGUAAGUAACUAUGCACGUCUUGACGGUACCUAAUCAGAAAGCCACGGCUAACUACGUG
rnacentral:rRNA from 1 species